rnacentral:rRNA from 1 species
AACGAACGCUGGCGGCAUGCCUAACACAUGCAAGUCGAACGGGAUCCGAGCUUCGGUUCGGUGAGAGUGGCGGACGGGUGAGUAACGCGUGGGAACCUGCCCAGUGGUGGGGGAUAACUGCGGGAAACUGCAGCUAAUACCGCAUGAGCCCGAGAGGGGAAAGAUUUAUCGCCAUUGGAGGGGCCCGCGUUCGAUUAGGUAGUUGGUGAGGUAACGGCUCACCAAGCCUUCGAUCGAUAGCUGGUCUGAGAGGAUGAUCAGCCACACUGGGACUGAGAUACGGCCCAGACUCCUACGGGAGGCAGCAGUGGGGAAUAUUGGACAAUGGGGGGCAACCCUGAUCCAGCAAUGCCGCGUGAGUGAUGAAGGCCUCGGUUGUAAGACUCUUUGUCCAGGGACGAUGAUGACGGUACCUGGAGAAUAAGCCCCGGCUAACUUCGUGCCAGCAGCCGCGGUAAU